GGCCCCUGCGACUCCUGGUGCCCGGCUGGGACACGUGGGGCCGGCUUUGCGGAGUCAGCAGGGCCAAGGUGCGCGGGGUGCGCUCCCCCCCGGAACCCCGCCCCUUCUCACCCCAUCUCGCUUUUUUGGGAGAGGAGAGUGGAGCCGUCAGCACCCACUGGCAGUGUCGGUGCUGUGCUGGGAGUCCUCCCAGACCAGCCCACUCCUCCUGGUUUGAGCUUCCGAUCCAUCCCUACUCCUUUACGGUUCUUCUUCCCCGUAGUUAACCUGCGGAGAGGAGGAGGUACUGUCUCCGCACAAGGUACUGCGGAGGUACCUUGCGGAGGAACCUUGCGGAGGAGGUACUGCGGUGGGGAGGCAGGGGGGAGGCGCAUCUGCCUCCGCACAAGGGGUCUAAUGGCUUGCUUAUUCCUUCUAGGCCAGGUUGAAAGGUUUUUAAAAGCAGGUGGGGGUGCCAGGAUAGUGAGAAAAACAAGAAAAGACACUGCUUUUUACCCCAUGCGGGGCAGAGCUGGUCUCCUUUCUGCAGGUGUUGAGGGGAGUUGAGUAGGAGCCCAGAGCUGGUACAGGCCCCGUUUAACGUGCCCCCGCAGAGUGAGGGCUGGGGGUCACCCCAUAGGCAGGGGAGCCCUUCUGGGAGGGAAUUCCUGCUUAGGUGGGAGGUUGACCUGAAUGACAUCUAGGUCCUCUACCUCCCAGAUGCCGAAUUUUCAGGGAAGGAACCAAAUGGAUGUAUGGCCCAUGCCUGGGUUUGAAUCCCAGUUCUGGCCUUCAUUCCUCCAGGCCUCCAUUUCCUUGUCUGCACUAUGGGGCCAUGGUGAGAACUCUGAAAUAACACCAACUGCCUGGUGCUUGGUAGGUGCCACAUUACAAAAGCGGUGGGAAGGAGGCCCUUUGGUUUCCAUGUCGGUGGUCAUGUCCCACAGUCCCCGUUGCCAUCCUGAUUAUGGAAAACUUCAUUUCAUGCUCCAAAUGUUCCUCAAUUCCUGGCACUGUUCUAGGUCCUGCACCCAGGCUGGUAUGAAAAAGGUGCCGAGAAGGUCCCAUGCAUCACCAGCCUGGAGGUAGCAGCAGAAGGGAAACCAGUGCCUCUGAGAGUGGGCAACUGUGCCCCAUCCACCUCCUCUUCUUCUUGGAGAUCUCAAGAUAAGACAAGAGACAUCAACCUGGGAUUGGGUUUCUGGGCAGAGAGUAAAAGUGAGCUCCUUCUGCCUGUGCACGCAGCUUCCCUCGGUACUGGGAUAGCCGAGAUCCCUUACUAGAAGCAGCUCACAAAACCUCCCCCAGUUACUGGGAUAGCCCAGACACCUUCCUAGGGCAGCAGCGGAAGAAAGAAGGGGACAAAAUACCAACGACCAGAAAGAAGAAAGAACUUAGCCUCAGUCACCAGCCACUGGGAGCUGAUAGUAACUGAAGGGAUGGAAAGCCCUCUGGGACAGUUUUAGUGGGAGCCCUCCAGAGCCUGGAGAGACUGCAGGUGGAGCAGGAAGGUGGGGAAGAAUUAGAGCAGUGACCCCGGCCACUUUUGGCCUCACGGUUCUGCACAAUGAGACAUUGCUCAUCUUCAGAGAACCGUGCCAUUCUGGCCAUCUGGCAUCCUAGACAAUUUUCCACUGUCUCUCAGUAUCCAGCCAUCCAGCCAUCUAGCCUCCUAACUACUUCUCUGUGCUGGUCCAGCCCAGUGCUCAGAGUUAGGAUAUUUUUAUGAAUAAAACAGACCUAGCUUCUGCCCUCGUGGAGCUUACAGCGUGGGGCGAAAGGAGACUGAUCAAAAUGCCACACACAUGUAAUUUACAACCUUGGGAAGUGCCAAGAAGGGGAAGUGUUGGGUGCCACUGAGAACAUUCACAGAGGUUAACCUGGGGCUGAGGUGGAGGAAAGGUCAGAUGGAAGCUGUCUAACCACCCUGGGCUUCUGGCUUAGGAUGUGUAGGGCUAGCAGCUCAGCCCAUGAGGUUGUGUCUUGAACUUGGGUAUUGAUGGAAUAGCUAUAGAAACAGAACAACCAUGAAGUGAAGAUGGUGAAUGAAGAUCCUCUCAUCAGCUUGCGAUUGCAUGACAGAGGAGGCUGCAAGGACACUCAGGUGUGAAGACGGCUGUGCCACUGCAGGGCAUGCAGAAGGAAGAGAGCCUUCCAGAGGAAAGUCGCCUUGUUCCUUGCUUUGUGACCCUCAUCUCUGCGAGGUAGAGAAGAAAAGGAGGGCUCUUCCAUCGGGAGCUUCCAAGGUUCCGGGUGAGAGCUAGCCAGCUCUGCAUUUGGAGCAGAGAGAGACAGGAAUUUGGGACACUAGGUCACAAGUUGGUCUCUUCCUUUGUCAGCAGUCCAUUCAACAUGGCAAUGCCCACACCCACCUCACAAGGCAUGGAUGACACAAAGAGAUGGCUUGCCUGCAAGAGACCCAGCUGGUCUGGAGUUGGAGGCACACUUCAUUUCUCUGCCCAGCUCGGCAGGCGGCUGGAGCAAACCAGGAGAUCGCCUCAAAUGUUUUAAAUGUCAAUAUGGUCCCUUCUUGCUGGCUUGCCAAGAUUUGACCAGCUAAAUUGGCCUGUGUGGUGUGUUCCCUGCAGUGCACGAUGAGAUAAAAAUGACUGGGCAUCCAGAUUAAUGACUGGAUCACAUGCAGGAACGUACUGGCUGUGAGCAGCCCUGGGCCAGGGCAGAGGUGAACUUGACAAUCAUGUGGACGCUGGCUUUUGAUUACUGCUUCUUCUGGGCUCACGCUACCCAGGGCUCUCUUUAGACCAUCUCUAGGUGAACUUUCUGCCCCAGGAAUGAUCACCUCCAUUUUACUGGUGAGAGGUUCAAGGACUUCCCUUCCUUCUUUCCUCCCUUCCCCUUCUCUCCACUUCCUUCUCCUUCCCUCCUACAUCAUUUUUCCCUUUCCUUUCUUCCUCCCUUCCUUUAGCAAAUAGCCCUGGAGCAGCUGACCGGUUCUAGGAGCUGAGAACAGGGUGAUGGGUAAGAGGGACAAGGGCUUGCUCUCACGGUGUUUACAUUCUAGUGGGGGCAGGAGACAAGUCAACAGAUCAAUAAUUUCAGAUAAGAACAGCUGCUCUAAGAAGAACAACUGGGGAGUGAGAUGCAGUCCACUUUAGGCCGGUGGUUGGGGACGGCUUCUCUUGAGAGGUGGCAUUUAGGGGACUAAAUGGUAACAAUGAGCUGGCCUUGGGCAGGUCUGGGGGCAGAGCCAUCAGUGCCAGGGCACAGAGCUAGGAAAUGCAGAGCAGCUGGUACCCACGACUGGUCUUGCCUGAACCCCUAAUCCUUGCUCUUUCUGCCACAUCCUGCUUUCCCACUUGGCCAAAGAAUUGUGGUUGGCCAAAGGUGGGGCUAAGCUGUGCAGUGGGAGGGGCCAGGCUGAGCUGGAGGUGGCCAGGAGCCUCCUGGUACAGGGCCCUGGUGCCAGUGUCCUCACCCUCCCAGAAUCCUGUUCAUUUGUGUUGAGGACAUGGGGUGAAGGAUCUGAAAAUGCAUGCGCAGGCAGACGACCCACCCAGGCCAUUCACAGCCGCAGCAGUUUGGGACUCUCCGCUUGGCCCAGGUAGGGAGGCACUUGCGGUCCUUCCCAGGCCUGCCGUGAGGCUCCAGGGCCAGCGCCUAUCCCCAGCCCCAAGGAGGCACUCCGAAGAACCUAUUUUAAAUCUCAGCUCAGCAUUUUUGGCCAACUUACAGAGAAGCUGCAAGAUGAGUAAAGGAACUUGCCUAUAUUUUUUAUCUAGAUUUACCAGUUGUUGACAUUUGCCCAUCUGCUUUGUCAUUGGUGCUCUCUCUAUUCUGUGUGUGUGUGUGUGUGUGUGUGUGUGUGUGUGUGUGUGUGU
rnacentral:lncRNA from 1 species